rnacentral:rRNA from 1 species
AUUGAACGCUGGCGGCAGGCCUAACACAUGCAAGUCGAACGGUAACAGGAAGAAGCUUGCUUCUUUGCUGACGAGUGGCGGACGGGUGAGUAAUGUCUGGGAAACUGCCUGAUGGAGGGGGAUAACUACUAGAAACGGUAGCUAAUACCGCAUAACGUCGCAAGACCAAAAAGGGGGACCUUCGGGCCUCUUGCCAUCGGAUGUGCCCAGAUGGGAUUAGCUAGUAGGUGGGGUAACGGCUCACCUAGGCGACGAUCCCUAGCUGGUCUGAGAGGAUGACCAGCCACACUGGAACUGAGACACGGUCCAGACUCCUACGGGAGGCAGCAGUGGGGAAUAUUGCACAAUGGGCGCAAGCCUGAUGCAGCCAUGCCGCGUGUAUGAAGAAGGCCUUCGGGUUGUAAAGUACUUUCAGCGGGGAGGAAGGGAGUAAAGUUAAUACCUUUGCUCAUUGACGUUACCCGCAGAAGAAGCACCGGCUAACUCCGUG